CGCCUCAACCCGAACUGACGGCCACCAAAACCUCAGCUCCUAAAGAAAUAACACAAUGAGGCAGCUGCGAUUUCGAACCGGCCCGGCAACAGCUCCGGCGGUGACCAGAAGCUUCGAUGGAUUAACCAUAAAAAUCGCGCAACGUUAAAAC